UAAUGUUGCCAAUUUUGCAUGUUCUGAUGUUUGCAUGUCAGCUUAUAUAGUUGAAUUUGAGGUAUGAAAUAAAAAUGGAAGCAGGUAAUGAGCGGCUUGCUGGUGUUGUACUAUUUGCAAGGGAAAGACUUCUACAGAGGUUGACAGGUGUAUCUAUAUCUGGAAAUAGUGAUUUUCCUUUUAGGUGGAGAACAGUGAGCCAAGAGACGAAAUACCUUACACUGAUGAGCCCAAAACUGAUUUCUAGAAUUUUAUAAGAAUGGGGAGGGAUGGGGUGCUGGAAAUGUUUUAUAUGACCAUCGUCCUCUUCAGUUGAAUGAAGAUGACCAUCAAUAUGUAUGCCAAAUUUUCAAGAGAAAGGGUGCAAAUUCAGGGACUUGACUGGAGUUCAGAUAAAAAAGUUGAAUGGGACCCAGAUGAGAAGAGAGUAUUGCUACCUUUAGGGAAGCCUUUGGUCCCAGAGUAUGCCAUGAGGUUCGUUGGUGGUAGUUCCGCAAAACCGUUUGGUCGUUUGUGGUGGGAUGAAACUGUCGCAACAGUUGUGACGAGAGUUGAACUACAUAAUCAGGCAUCUUUUUAUCUUUGUCAUCUUAUUCAAUCCAUAAAAUUAGCUUGUAUCAUCCUAAAGCCUUAUCUUUUAUUCUUGUACUCCUUUCAGACCAUAAUACAUCCACUACAUGAUAGAGUUCUCACUAUUCGUAAAAAUGCAAGGCUCCAAAGUUUUCCGAACUAUUACAAGUUAAUAGGUCCAAUAAAAGAAAGGUAUAGCAUCAACUAACAUCUAACUGUUUGGUUGAAGAUCUGAUUUUUGUGUAAGGCUGAUGAAUGAUGACCGAGGAACACAACAAAGUUUCAAAUUGCCAGCUCAAAUAUUAUUUGAUUGCUGCAGGUUUCCAAACAUAUGGGCAUUGCAAUUAGCUGUUGAUUCUGUAUUAUGUUGGACUGCAUCUUUCAUUUCAGGAAGAUUGACAAAGUGUUGAUGAGGUUCUAAAGCACCCCUACUUCUCGUAAAGGUGAUAAAAAUUUCAGGUGGUAUACCUAUUUCCAUAUGAACAGCUAAAAGAAACACAACCUGCAGACCUUUUACUGAGGGUCUGUGAUUCAAGUGAACCAGAUAUUCUUGACCAAUAUUUUACACCCAUUGCCUUCUACUCAAACCAUACAUAUAUACUAUUUUUUGAUACAUAUAUUUAUACAGAGUUUUGAUCCUUUGUCGCUCGGGAGAAAUGAUUGCAAUGGUACUCUACAUGCAUACACUGACCUUUAAAUUGUGGAUCCACUUCUGUUGUCAUGAAAUGUUAAAA